UACGUAGGGUGCAAGCGUUGUCCGGAAUUAUUGGGCGUAAAGAGCUCGUAGGCGGUUUGUCGCGUCUGGUGUGAAAAUCCAGGGCUUAACCCUGGACCUGCAUCGGGUACGGGCAGACUAGAGUGCGGUAGGGGAGAUCGGAAUUCCUGGUGUAGCGGUGAAAUGCGCAGAUAUCAGGAGGAACACCGGUGGCGAAGGCGGAUCUCUGGAACGCAACUGACGCUGAGGCGCGAAAGCGUGGGGAGCAAACAGG
rnacentral:rRNA from 1 species